GUGAAUCAUCAAAUCUUUGAACGCAAAUUGCACUCCCUGGUAUUCCGGGGAGUAUGCCUGUUUGAGGGUCGUUAGAACAAAAAUCGAAGCGUCGCUCUUUUUUUUUAAUGGUGAUCGCGCCGGAUUGGAGCCGUCUUUAAAAUGUUAAUUCAUGGCAAAGUGGCUUGAAAUCUAUCAAUCCGUUCCUAUUUAUGCGUAUUUA
rnacentral:misc_RNA from 1 species